rnacentral:ncRNA from 1 species
UACCCUGUACGCGCAGCUGGUUCACCUCGCCCGCCAGGCGAGGUGUCGCGAGAGGGAACCCGGUGCAAGUCCGGGACCGCCUCGCAGCGGUGAGUGGGAACGACCGCCGUCAUGACGCACGGGGCACGCCUGUGGCCUGGAAAGCGACGGCCAGGAGGAGUCCCGUUCUUCGGGGCGUGCCCACGAGUCCGAAGACCUGCCACUGCCCGUGCGGGGUG